rnacentral:rRNA from 1 species
GAUGAACGCUGGCGGCGUGCUUAACACAUGCAAGUCGAACGGGAUCCAAGGGGUGCUUGCACUUUUUGGUGAGAGUUGCGAACGGGUGAGUAACACGUGAGUAACCUGUCCUUUUCUUUGGGAUAAGCAUUCGAAAGGGUGUUUAAUACCUUAUGUUCUGUCUGCCUCGCAUGGGGUGGGUGGGAAAGGCUUUGGCCGGAUUUGGGUGGGCUCGCGGUCUAUCAGCUUGUUGGUGGGGUGAUGGCUUACCAAGGCUUUGACGGGUAGCCGGCCUGAGAGGGUGGUCGGUCACAUUGGGACUGAGAUACGGCCCAGACUCCUGCGGGAGGCAGCAGUGGGGGAUAUUGCACAAUGGGCGAAAGCCUGAUGCAGCGACGCCGCGUGGGGGAUGAAGGCCUUCGGGUUGUAAACUUCUUUUGCUCUGAACAAGGCAUGCCAGUGGGUGUGUUGAGUGUAGGGGUUGAUUAGCGCCGGCUAACUACGUG